AAGACCAUACUAAUGGGUCAUUUCUGUAGUUCAUUACUAGAAGUUUCUCUGAAUGCAGAGAGCACUGGACACCAUGAAGCACAGGCGCAGCAUUCCUUCUCCCUGGGUGCAAAGCAGCUAUCUGUCAUUGAUAGUCAUUCUUUUCCUUCAGGAGAGUGAGGUGCAUGAUGCCAUCAGAGCAGA
rnacentral:snoRNA from 1 species